rnacentral:rRNA from 1 species
GACUGGGGCGGUCGCCUCCCAAAGUGUAACGGAGGCGUCCAAUGCUCACCUCAGGCUGGUUGGAAACUAGCUUUAAGAGUACAAAGGCAGAAGGUGGGUUUACUGUGAGACAAACAAGUCGAGCAGUUGCGAAAGCAGGGCUUAGUGACCCUUUGGCGGUGUAUGGGUGCGCCAAAGAUCAUCGGAUAUAAGCUACCCCGGGAAAACAGGCUUA